ensembl:lncRNA
CGCACGCGCCGCGGCGCCCCGGAGCGUAACUCCUGCCUUCGCGACUGCCUGGGGCGCUGUCGGCUUACGAGGCUUUUUGCGGCGUGCUCUUGGAAUCAAGUUUGCAAACGGCUGCCGCGUGGGAAACCUAUUUUCCUUAUUUUUUUCUUUCUUUUUUUUCUCCCCAAGCUAUUUAUGCUAGAUUGAGGGAGCCGUUUUGUCACACAAGUUCAACACGUUCCCCCACCCUGGUCCCCAACUAGCAAGGUCAGGUGGCGAUUUUUGGUCCACUUGUUCGAAACCGACUUGUUCCUGCCCUCUCUGCUUCGUUUCGCUUUUUCUCAUCUCUCCGAAGGGCUGCAGCCUUCUGGAGCUGACUCAGGCAAGAGGCGUCCAGACGCAAAUAGGGGUCACACCUGCUGCCGGGAGAGGCCUCAGCAUAAAAAUGUUCUUUAAAUUUUUCAAAAAGCUGCAUAAUAGCCAAAGGACUUAGCGAAGCGUGACCUGCCCAGGCCGCAUGGAGGGCAGCCCUGGCAGUCAUCUGUGACUCGACCACCAGUUAACGUCCUGGUCGUGCCUGAUCGCGGACCUAUUAGCAAACGUUUCAAGGAUGUGGCUGUCAGAUGUCAUUAGCCAACGCGUUUAACUGGGAGGAGGGCACGGCCAGGGCGUGUAUGCUUAGAAUUUUCUGGAGAGGUCAGAGUCUGCCCUCUGGAACAGUCAAAUGCCCAUUCCUGUACAGACAUUUAUCAAAUGACUGGAGAAAGGCUGGCACAUGAACAGCGGGGUACCGAAGCAUGGAAGGGGUGCAUGCAAGUCGUGCAGGGGGAAACUCAGUCCGAAAUGAGACCCCUGUAUGGUGGAGAAUCAGAUCGAGUCAACCCAAUGAGUUAUAGCGCUCCUCGUGUGAACCAUCGGGUCCUGAGCGCUAGAACCUGGCGUCCGGAUGCGCAAUUAGAGGCAGGCAGCUGGAGACACCUGAUGACCCGGAAGGUCCGUCCCGUGGCUGUUCAAGUGGGCAAAGUAAAUGAGAAAAUUCUUGAAUUGAAAUGGAAACCAAGGCCCACUUUUAGCCAAUCAAAGGUAUUGUGACUUGGAACAGUUAAUUUGAUUUCCUGAUAAUCUGGGGUACCAGCUUAACUAUUGUCUUGAUUCUUCAUCUGAAUUUGUUAUAAAAGCUGCAUAAUGGUUUCUAACUUUUUGUUCUAGGAGAGGA